rnacentral:rRNA from 1 species
CGCUAAAUGCAGUCGAACGGGGCGUAGCAAAACACUGUGUGUUUUGCUAGUUGAUAGUUGACAAUUGACAGUUGACAGUAAUGGAAUCCGCGAAGCGGAUGGAUUGAAAAAUUCAUCGCCGAAGGCGAUACCAAUACUAUCAACUAUCAACUGUCAACUGUCAACUAGCGAAGCAAAACACAGAGUGUUUUGCUUCGCCUAGUGGCGGACGGGUGAGUAACACGUGAGCAACCUGCCUUAAAGAGGGGGAUAACGUCUGGAAACGGACGCUAAUACCGCAUAAGCUACCGGGGUGGCAUCAUUCUGGUAGUAAAGGAGCAAUCCGCUUUAAGAUGGGCUCGCGUCCGAUUAGAUAGUUGGUGAGGUAAUGGCUCACCAAGUCAGCGAUCGGUAGCCGGACUGAGAGGUUGAACGGCCACAUUGGGACUGAGACACGGCCCAGACUCCUACGGGAGGCAGCAGUGGGGGAUAUUGCACAAUGGGGGAAACCCUGAUGCAGCGACGCCGCGUGAGUGAAGACGGCCUUCGGGUUGUAAAGCUCUGUUGAGGGGGACGAUAAUGACGGUACCCCUUUAGAAAGCCACGGCUAACUACGUGCCAGCAGCCGCGGUAAUACGUAGGUGGCGAGCGUUGUCCGGAAUUACUGGGUGUAAAGGGAGCGUAGGCGGGACUUUAAGUUGGAUGUGAAAUAUCCGGGCUCAACCCGGGGGCUGCAUCCAAAACUGGAGUUCUUGAGUGGAGUAGAGGUAGGCGGAAUUCCUAGUGUAGCGGUGAAAUGCGUAGAUAUUAGGAGGAACACCAGUGGCGAAGGCCGCCCUACUGGGCUUUAACUGACGCUGAAGGCUCCAAAGCCGUGGGGGAGCCAACNGGAUUAGAUACCCUGGUAGNCCCNCUGUAAACNAUGAUUACNAGGUGUGGGGGGUCUGACCCCNUCCGUGNCCGANUUAACCNCAAUAAGUAAUCCCCCCUGGGAGUACCGGCCNCCAGGUUGAAACNNCAAAGAAUUGACCGGGGNCCCCCCCAGCCCUNGAUUUGUGGUUNAAUUCCAANCNCCCCCAAAAACCUUCCCAGGUUUGACC